rnacentral:lncRNA from 1 species
CGAGCCCACGAGAAAGGCUGAGGUUUCUGCAUUUUAGUCUGUGGUCCGAGAAGAGGCAAAGGAUCUCAGGGCUCCCUUCAGUCCAGUGAAAUACUCAACUCGCUUCACAGGGAGGCUGGAGUUGGAAGCGACCGUUGUGAAACGUUAAAGAUUUUCUGGCAGUAGGAAAGGAUUUUUUUUCUUUUCCUCCCUCCCUGCCGAGGAAAAACAGUUCUAAAGAGAGAGUCACUUUGUAGUUGUAACUCCCAUUCAAAGACUCCCAGCCCCAGAAGCUGCGGAUCCCUGCGCUUCUUGUGCGUGGUCUGUCAGAGACUGUCACCAGCCAUACUGCUCAUGAGUUUACCCAGGACCAUCUUCCCCAGGAGGGAGGCCGGGACCCAUGCAGCAGCAGCUAAGCCUAGUUCAUCUACCACUCACCGGCCAAGGCCUGGAGAACAGGAGAGGAAGAAGCGUGGCCUCACUUCCUCUCUGAGGAUGGAGCCCCACAGCCACUCUGGAAAGAGCCGGAAAUCCACGAAAUUUCGCUCCAUUUCCCGUUCCCUGAUCCUCUGUAACGCCAAGACCAGUGA